rnacentral:rRNA from 1 species
UACGGGGGGGGCAAGCGUUGUUCGGAAUUACUGGGCGUAAAGGGCGCGUAGGCGGCCUUCUAAGUCGAACGUGAAAUCCCCGGGCUCAACCCGGGAACUGCGUCCGAUACUGGAAGGCUUGAAUCCGGGAGAGGGAUGCGGAAUUCCAGGUGUAGCGGUGAAAUGCGUAGAUAUCUGGAGGAACACCGGUGGCGAAGGCGGCAUUCUGGACCGGCAUUGACGCUGAGGCGCGAAAGCCAGGGGAGCAAACGGG